AGCAAUGAUUUUUGUCUUCAUGGACAUAACCAGCAAGUGGAAUACUAACCAAUCUUGACAGAUGCUUCACAGAACAAUGGCUGAGCAAUAAAUACCAAAUUAUAUGCUUAUUUUUCAGGAACCUUCAAAAAAGAAAAGGUUAGAAUUGCCUGAAAAGAAAAACGCCAGAGAGAUCAGAUCAGUUUACUGAAGGCAGAAGAAGUAAGAAGACUG